rnacentral:rRNA from 1 species
AGGAUUUGCCCCUAGUACGAGAGGACCGGGGUGAACAUACCUCUGGUGGACCUGUUGUGGCGCCAGCCGCAGUGCAGGGUAGCUAUGUAUGGACUGGAUAACCGCUGAAUGCAUCUAAGCGGGAAACCAACCUCAAAACGAGUUCUCCCUUGAGAGUCGUGGUAGACGACCACGUUGAUAGGCCGGGUGUGGAAGCACAGUAAU